rnacentral:snRNA from 1 species
GUCCCUUCGAAAACAUCAGAUUAAAUUGGAACGAUACAGAAAAGAUUAGCAUGGCCCAUGCAGAAGGAUGACACGCACAAAUCGAGAAAAUAAAAAAUUCGAG